rnacentral:rRNA from 1 species
GAUGAACGCUGGCGGCGUGCCUAAUACAUGCAAGUCGAGCGAACAGAUGAGGAGCUUGCUCCUCUGACGUUAGCGGCGGACGGGUGAGUAACACGUGGAUAACCUACCUAUAAGACUUGGAUAACUUCGGGAAACCGGCGCUAAUACCGGAUAAUAUAUUGAACCGCAUGGUUCAAUAGUGAAAGACGGUUUUGCUGUCACUUAUAGAUGGAUCCGCGCCGCAUUAGCUAGUUGGUAAGGUAACGGCUUACCAAGGCAACGAUGCGUAGCCGACCUGAGAGGGUGAUCGGCCAAACUGGAAGUGAGACACGGUCCAGAGGCCUAAGGGAGGCAGCAGUAGGGAAUCUUCCGCAAUGGGCGAAAGCCUGACGGAGCAACGCCGCGUGAGUGAUGAAGGUCUUCGGAUCGUAAAACUCUGUUAUUAGGGAAGAACAAAUGUGUAAGUAACUAUGCUCGUCUUGACGGUACCUAAUCAGAAAGCCACGGCUAACUACGUG